UAUUAGCUAGGUACACACUCGGAUGGUUUUUCUGCCUGUUCGAGUCUGUGUGCUGGCCUUUCAGUAUUAAUUUAAAGGGGAGCAAAUAUUUUUGGACUUGGGGCUUUGUGAAAGAAAAAAAGGUGUUAUGUUACGAAACGUAUUCUUUGAUCUCAAUACCAUAAAGUGACUUUCACCACGCCAUAAGGUGGACGCUCAUUUAGGAAGCUGGAUGUCAGCAGAAAAAUAAACAACUUGUGUAGACACAGACCGAAAACAGGAAACAGUCGAAGAACAAAAAACUCUAACUUUUGCCUUUUUUGCCUUUUUUGCCAUAUUCUUGUGUUUUAUUAACGAGUCUAUUUUUCAAGUUACCUGCUACAUACAUAAGGCGAGGGUCUUAAGUGUCUAAUGUUAGUAGGCUUAGCUCGUCUUUCGCCCAUGCACUUCAUUUCUAGAAUCAUGGAAAACUGUGUAUAUUAAACUAUUAUCUUUAGUAUUUCGUUAUUUUAUACAGGUUAACUCUUCGAAUUUAAUAUUAAAACUUUUAAUGGGGACAAUCGUGUCAUUGUAGCCCUCCACUUGGAAGCACACGCCCCAUUUGUGUUACCUCUUUUAGACUCAGCCUUCUCUUAUUAGAACUAUCCUCAGACUAAGCUUUUUUUUACGUAAACCGCAAGGAUACUACUGUUUUGAGCUCACAAGGCGCUUUUAAAAAGAAUUUUUAUUAAAGUACAUGAUGCCCUUACUCGCUUGAGGAUUUUCGAGAGAAAAUUACAAACCUCGAAAAGGCUAUUACUAAUUAUAAAAUUAGGAGUGCUAAUUUAAAGAGAUGCGUUCCAGAAUAAAGGGAAGAAGAGUGAGCCACACAGAACAGACCGGAUGGUGGCUGAGCAUAUGCUUCGCUUAACAGCCAUCAAUGAAACAAGUGUGUUCUCAUAUAUGUUUAAAAGCUAAAGUC